rnacentral:tRNA from 1 species
UGGCUCAGAUGGUGAAGCGUCUGCCUACAAUGCAGGAAACCCGGGUUCGAUUCCUGG